GCUUGCUGGGUGGAUUAGUGGCGAACGGGUGAGUAACACGUGGGUGAUCUGCCCUGCACUCUGGGAUAAGCCUGGGAAACUGGGUCUAAUACCGGAUAUGACCUCGGGAUGCAUGUUCUGGGGUGGAAAGUUUUUCGGUGCAGGAUGAGCCCGCGGCCUAUCAGCUUGUUGGUGGGGUAAUGGCCUACCAAGGCGACGACGGGUAGCCGGCCUGAGAGGGCGACCGGCCACACUGGGACUGAGACACGGCCCAGACUCCUACGGGAGGCAGCAGUGGGGAAUAUUGCACAAUGGGCGCAAGCCUGAUGCAGCGACGCCGCGUGAGGGAUGACGGCCUUCGGGUUGUAAACCUCUUUCACCCAUGACGAAGCGCAAGUGACGGUAGUGGGAGAAGAAGCACCGGCCAACUACGUGCCAGCAGCCGCGGUAAUACGUAGGGUGCGAGCGUUGUCCGGAAUUACUGGGCGUAAAGAGCUCGUAGGCGGUUUGUCGCGUCGUCUGUGAAAUCCCGCAGCUCAACUGCGGGCUUGCAGGCGAUACGGGCAGACUCGAGUACUGCAGGGGAGACUGGAAUUCCUGGUGUAGCGGUGAAAUGCGCAGAUAUCAGGAGGAACACCGG
rnacentral:rRNA from 1 species